rnacentral:tRNA from 1 species
CAACAAAUAGUUUAUUAAAAUUUAAAUUUUGGAGAUUUAAGAUAUAUAUAUUUAUAUUUUGUUGA